UAAGGAAUAUUGGUCAAUGGACGCAAGUCUGAACCAGCCAUGCCGCGUGGAGGAUGAAGGCCCUCUGGGUUGUAAACUUCUUUUAUCUGGGACGAAACCCUCAUAUUCUUAUGAGACUGACGGUACCAGAGGAAUAAGCACCGGCUAACUCCGUGCCAGCAGCCGCGGUAAUACGGAGGGUGCAAGCGUUAUCCGGAUUCACUGGGUUUAAAGGGUGCGUAGGAGGGCAGGUAAGUCAGUGGUGAAAUCUCCAAGCUUAACUUGGAAACUGCCGUUGAUACUAUCUGUCUUGAAUAUUGUGGAGGUGAGCGGAAUAUGUCAUGUAGCGGUGAAAUGCUUAGAUAUGACAUAGAACACCAAUUGCGAAGGCAGCUCACUACACAAUCAUUGACUCUGAGGCACGAAAGCGUGGGGAGUCAAACAGGAUUAGAUACCCUGGUAGUCCUAGCCGUAAACGUUGGUGCUAGGUGUGGG
rnacentral:rRNA from 1 species